rnacentral:rRNA from 1 species
GACGAACGCUGGCGGCGUGCCUAAUACAUGCAAGUUGAGCGCUGAAGGUUGGUACUUGUACCAACUGGAUGAGCAGCGAACGGGUGAGUAACGCGUGGGGAAUCUGCCUUUGAGCGGGGGACAACAUUUGGAAACGAAUGCUAAUACCGCAUAAAAACUUUAAACACAAGUUUUAAGUUUGAAAGAUGCAAUUGCAUCACCCAAAGAUGAUCCCGCGUUGUAUUAGCUAGUUGGUGAGGUAAAGGCUCACCAAGGCGAUGAUACAUAGCCGACCUGAGAGGGUGAUCGGCCACAUUGGGACUGAGACACGGCCCAAACUCCUACGGGAGGCAGCAGUAGGGAAUCUUCGUCAAUGGACGAAAGUCUGACCGAGCAACGCCGCGUGAGUGAAGAAGGUUUUCGGAUCGUAAAACUCUGUUGGUAGAGAAGAACGUUGGUGAGAGUGGAAAGCUCAUCAAGUGACGGUAACUACCCAGAAAGGGACGGCUAACUACGUG